AUUCUGCCCAAGCGGGGAAGGAUGAGAAGCUUCGACCAAGGUUCGACUUGAGCGCCAACGAGAGAGCGUUGCCGCAGGCAACGACCCGAAGCGCGCAGCGCUGAGUAAUCCUUCCCCCACCACCA
rnacentral:sRNA from 1 species